UUGGUCAUUUAGAGGAAGUAAAAGUCGUAACAAGGUUUCCGUAGGUGAACCUGCGGAAGGAUCAUUACAGAAUGAAAAGUGCUUAACUGCAUUUUUUCUUACACAUGUGUUUUUCUUUUUUUGAAAACUUUGCUUUGGUAGGCCUUCUAUAUGGGGCCUGCCAGAGAUUAAACUCAACCAAAUUUUAUUUAAUGUCAACCGAUUAUUUAAUAGUCAAAACUUUCAACAACGGAUCUCUUGGUUCUCGCAUCGAUGAAGAACGCAGCGAAAUGCGAUAAGUAAUAUGAAUUGCAGAUAUUCGUGAAUCAUCGAAUCUUUGAACGCACAUUGCGCCCUUUGGUAUUCCAAAGGGCAUGCCUGUUUGAGCGUCAUUUCUCCCUCAAACCCUCGGGUUUGGUGUUGAGCGAUACGCUGGGUUUGCUUGAAAGAAAGGCGGAGUAUAAACUAAUGGAUAGGUUUUUUCCACUCAUUGGUACAAACUCCAAAACUUCUUCCAAAUUCGACCUCAAAUCAGGUAGGACUACCCGCUGAACUUAAGCAUAUCAAUAAGCGGAGG
rnacentral:rRNA from 1 species